UCAAGAGGAAUUGAUGUUGUGCCUUAUUGGAAAGCCAUGCUCUCAAACUUUGUAACACGUAAUGUGGCUUUGGGAGGAGAGCUCAUCUGCACAGACUUCACACUGGGUCUGCCUCAGCAACGCGUAUGAUUCUUAUAAGACAUCUGCUUAUAAGACAGUCUGCUUGUGACGCUGCAAUUAUCUGUAAACACAGAGGUGGACAUAAAAGUGCCACUUUUGAAUCUAACAGGAUGUGGCCCACGCUACAGAGGGAGUUAAUGACGUCGGCAUCUAAAUGAAAAACUCAGGAAUAUCCUACUUUUUUCUGCUUCACCAAGUUGCAGGCUCUUUGUACAGAACGCUUUUCAAACGCCUUUGGCCAUUAAGGAGGGAGGAUUUUUUGCAUAAGGAAGAACACCUGCACCAGUCACAGAGGCAUCCUUCUGUCAGAUACAUCCACCUGCUCCAGUCACAGAAGCGUCCUUCUGUCAGAGACAUCCACCUGCACCAGUCAAAGAGGCAUCCUUCUCUCAGAGACAUCCACCUGCACCAGAAGGGGUGACAACAGAGGAGCAACUCCAGAGCUGUCUGACAGGCCCUUUGUACAGAACACUUUUGAAACGCCUUUGGUCAUUAGAGAGGGGGGAUUUUUUGCAUAAAGAAAAACACCUUCACCAGUCACAGAGGAGUCCUUCUCUCAGAGACAUCCACCUGCACCAGUCACAGAGGCGUCCUUCUCUCAGAGACAUCCAGCUGCACCAGUCACAGAGGCGUCCUUCUCUCAGAGACAUCCACCUGCUCCAGUCACAGAGGUAUCCUAACACAUUAUGGACAUUAAUAAAAACACAAAAUGUAAUGUACA
rnacentral:lncRNA from 1 species